AUUAGAAAGGGUCAAAUUCUCUUUGAAUGCAUUUUGAAUUCUUGAGAAUUCAUACUUACUAGUGUAUAAUCUUGUGAGUAAUCUGAACCGUCCAGUUCAUGUGAAGUUUAUGCGCCAUCUAGUGUUCAGUUGACCUUACUCUGUCCAUCUGUACUGAACAAGUAGUAUUGAUAACAUCUGACAGCCCGGUCAGGAGAUAACCAAUAAUUUGCAGUAG